CCCUUAUCCCCCUCUCUCUGGUCACGUUCUAUCUUUCCCCUUCCUCCCUCGACUCCGAUCUAGAUCCAGGGCCCCGACGGAGGGCUUCUUCCCACUCCGACCUCGGAGCCAUGGUGCGCCCUCUUCCCCAUCGCUGCCGGCCACCAUCCCCACACUUUCUCUCCCUUGGCUGCCUCCCACACCGUCUCCUCCUUCCCCCAUCUCAUCACUAGGGAAGACAAGGCAAGUAGGAGGGAGAUCGACCGUGUAGGUCAGAUCCAACCACCAUGACCUCAAUGGAGAUGGCCCAAUGGAUGGAGCGGACCUGCAAAUCGUUAAGCCAAUGGUAGCAGUUCUCUUCUCCACGGGGAUCACGUACAGGGCACCACCUACAAGUGAAGAGAAGACCACCGCUCCUCCGGGUCUGCUUCUUCCUACUCUUCAAGGGACCACUAUUAUUAUUGGUGGACUUGAUGUGGCGAUGUUAGGAGCUCGUUGAAAUGUUGUUACUAUCAUGGUUCUCAAUUUAGCUGCUACUCCUCUUGAGCUAAGAUAAACACACACUCAGCAUUAAAAGUAGUAAAUCAAAUUCCAUUUUCUGGAUUCAUUUAUAAGAAUAGUUGAUGGUUCUGUGUCAAGCUUUAUAUCUAGUAAUAGUUGUUGAUUCAUUUAUAAGAAUAGUUGAUGGUUCUAGCAGCGGGUGGUCGGAGGCGGCUGCGGCGCCGGCGGUAGGGGAGGACGAGAGGGCCGGGUGGGAGGUUCGGCCGAGCGGGAUGGUCGUGUAGGCCAGGGACAGGGGGCCGACGACGCUGCUGCGGGGGUGCCGCCCAGGCCGCCGUCGUGAUAUGGAUGACUAUCUGAAGGGAUGCAGGUUUCUUCCCAAACUUAGCAACGAGAUACUAGGUGAAAGAAAUGCUCCUUACAAGGAAAGGUUGAGCAGCCUAGAGAAUUUAUUACUCAUCAUGGAAAGAGGUGAUCAACGUAGACUACCGCGACCGGUGGGCGUCGUGCUCUUCAACAACUCGGAGGCGGACUUUGUUGUGAAGCCCGACGACCGCGUCACACAGAUGAUUGUCCAGGUGAUUGCGAUGCCGGAGGUCGCCGAGGUGGAGGACCUUGACAUCACCGUCUGGAGGUCGUCGAGGUGGAGGACCUCGACGCCACCGUCUCGAGGUUGCCGAGGUGGAGGACCUCGACGCCACCAUCUCGAGGUUGCCGAGGUGGACGCCUUGGUAGAUACAUCUGGAGAAGUGGUCAUGUUAGGUUGGUGGUGGAACGCUAGGGAAGGUACCCACCUUUCGGUGACGGUUGUGUGCAUCUGAUGUAUAAAUGGUAUCUCGUGAUCUCUUUGAGUUGAGAUGUUCAAUGUUGUAUCCAUGAAUGCUGCAAGUGCUAAGAUGGUUCUGUGACCUUCUUUUA